UACAGAGGUCUCAAGCGUUGUUCGGAUUCAUUGGGCGUAAAGGGUGCGUAGGUGGCGGGGUAAGUCAGGUGUGAAAUUUCGGAGCUUAACUCCGAAACUGCAUUUGAUACUGCCUUGCUUGAGGACUGGAGAGGAGACUGGAAUUCACGGUGUAGCAGUGAAAUGCGUAGAGAUCGUAAGGAAGACCAGUGGCGAAGGCGGGUCUCUGGACAGUUCCUGACACUGAGGCACGAAGGCCAGGGGAGCAAACGGG
rnacentral:rRNA from 1 species